UACGGGGGGGCAAGCGUUGUUCGGAAUUACUGGGCGUAAAGGGCUCGUAGGCGGCCAACUAAGUCAGACGUGAAAUCCCUCGGCUUAACCGGGGAACUGCGUCUGAUACUGGAUGGCUUGAGUUCGGGAGAGGGAUGCGGAAUUCCAGGUGUAGCGGUGAAAUGCGUAGAUAUCUGGAGGAACACCGGUGGCGAAGGCGGCAUCC
rnacentral:rRNA from 1 species